rnacentral:rRNA from 1 species
UACGGAGGGUGCAAGCAUUAAUCGGAAUUAUUGGGCGUAAAGGGCGCGUAGGCGGAAAAUCAAGGCAGAUGUGAAAUACCGGGGCUCAACUUCGGUGCUGCAUUUGAGACUGUUUUUCUAGAGGGUAGGAGGAGAAAAUGGAAUUCCACAAGUAGCGGUGAAAUGCGUAGAUAUGUGGAAGAACACCGGUGGCGAAGGCGGUUUUCUAUCUUAUUCCUGACGCUGAGGCGCGAAAGCAAGGGGAUCAAACAGG